rnacentral:rRNA from 1 species
UUUGGUUAAGUUAGAAAGGGCGCACGGUGGAUGCCUUGACACUAGGAGUCGAUGAAGGACGGGACUAACGCCGAUAUGCUUCGGGGAGCUGUAAGUAAGCUUUGAUCCGAAGAUUUCCGAAUGGGGAAACCCACCAUACGUAAUGGUAUGGUAUCCUUAUCUGAAUACAUAGGGUAAGGAAGACAGACCCAGGGAACUGAAACAUCUAAGUACCUGGAGGAAGAGAAAGCAAAUGCGAUUUCCUGAGUAGCGGCGAGCGAAACGGAACAUAGCCCAAACCAAGAGGCUUGCCUCUUGGGGUUGUAGGACAUUCUAUACGGAGUUACAAAGGAACGAGGUAGACGAAGCGACCUGGAAAGGUCCGUCGUAGAGGGUAACAACCCCGUAGUCGAAACUUCGUUCUCUCUUGAAUGUAUCCUGAGUACGGCGGAACACGUGAAAUUCCGUCGGAAUCUGGGAGGACCAUCUCCCAAGGCUAAAUACUACCUAGUGAUCGAUAGUGAACCAGUACCGUGAGGGAAAGGUGAAAAGCACCCCGGAAGGGGAGUGAAAGAGAUCCUGAAACCGUGUGCCUACAAAUAGUCAGAGCCCGUUAACGGGUGAUGGCGUGCCUUUUGUAGAAUGAACCGGCGAGUUACGAUCCCGUGCGAGGUUAAGCUGAAGAGGCGGAGCCGCAGCGAAAGCGAGUCUGAAUAGGGCGUUUAGUACGUGGUCGUAGACCCGAAACCAGGUGAUCUACCCAUGUCCAGGGUGAAGUUCAGGUAACACUGAAUGGAGGCCCGAACCCACGCACGUUGAAAAGUGCGGGGAUGAGGUGUGGGUAGCGGAGAAAUUCCAAUCGAACCUGGAGAUAGCUGGUUCUCCCCGAAAUAGCUUUAGGGCUAGCCUUAAGUGUAAGAGUCUUGGAGGUAGAGCACUGAUUGGACUAGGGGUCCUCAUCGGAUUACCGAAUUCAGUCAAACUCCGAAUGCCAAUGACUUAUCCUUAGGAGUCAGACUGCGAGUGAUAAGAUCCGUAGUCAAAAGGGAAACAGCCCAGACCGCCAGCUAAGGUCCCAAAGUGUGUAUUAAGUGGAAAAGGAUGUGGAGUUGCUUAGACAACUAGGAUGUUGGCUUAGAAGCAGCCACCAUUUAAAGAGUGCGUAAUAGCUCACUAGUCGAGUGACUCUGCGCCGAAAAUGUACCGGGGCUAAAUACACCACCGAAGCUGCGGAUUGAUACCAAUGGUAUCAGUGGUAGGGGAGCGUUCUAAGGACAGUGAAGUCAGACCGGAAGGACUGGUGGAGUGCUUAGAAGUGAGAAUGCCGGUAUGAGUAGCGAAAGACGGGUGAGAAUCCCGUCCACCGAAUGCCUAAGGUUUCCUGAGGAAGGCUCGUCCGCUCAGGGUUAGUCAGGACCUAAGCCGAGGCCGACAGGCGUAGGCGAUGGACAACAGGUUGAUAUUCCUGUACCACCUCUUUAUCGUUUGAGCAAUGGAGGGACGCAGAAGGAUAGAAGAAGCGUGCGAUUGGUUGUGCACGUCCAAGCAGUUAGGCUGAUAAGUAGGCAAAUCCGCUUAUCGUGAAGGCUGAGCUGUGAUGGGGAAGCUCCUUAUGGAGCGAAGUCUUUGAUUCCCCGCUGCCAAGAAAAGCUUCUAGCGAGAUAAAAGGUGCCUGUACCGCAAACCGACACAGGUAGGCGAGGAGAGAAUCCUAAGGUGUGCGAGAGAACUCUGGUUAAGGAACUCGGCAAAAUGACCCCGUAACUUCGGGAGAAGGGGUGCUUUCUUAACGGAAAGCCGCAGUGAAUAGGCCCAAGCGACUGUUUAGCAAAAACACAGCUCUCUGCGAAGCCGUAAGGCGAAGUAUAGGGGGUGACACCUGCCCGGUGCUGGAAGGUUAAGGAGAGGGGUUAGCGUAAGCGAAGCUCUGAACUGAAGCCCCAGUAAACGGCGGCCGUAACUAUAACGGUCCUAAGGUAGCGAAAUUCCUUGUCGGGUAAGUUCCGACCCGCACGAAAGGUGUAACGAUUUGGGCACUGUCUCAACCAGAGACUCGGUGAAAUUAUAGUACCUGUGAAGAUGCAGGUUACCCGCGACAGGACGGAAAGACCCCGUGGAGCUUUACUGUAGCCUGAUAUUGAAUUUUGGUACAGUUUGUACAGGAUAGGCGGGAGCCUUUGAAACCGGAGCGCUAGCUUCGGUGGAGGCGCUGGUGGGAUACCGCCCUGACUGUAUUGAAAUUCUAACCUACGGGUCUUAUCGACCCGGGAGACAGUGUCAGGUGGGCAGUUUGACUGGGGCGGUCGCCUCCUAAAGUGUAACGGAGGCGCCCAAAGGUUCCCUCAGAAUGGUUGGAAAUCAUUCGUAGAGUGCAAAGGCAUAAGGGAGCUUGACUGCGAGACCUACAAGUCGAGCAGGGACGAAAGUCGGGCUUAGUGAUCCGGUGGUUCCGCAUGGAAGGGCCAUCGCUCAACGGAUAAAAGCUACCCCGGGGAUAACAGGCUUAUCUCCCCCAAGAGUCCACAUCGACGGGGAGGUUUGGCACCUCGAUGUCGGCUCAUCGCAUCCUGGGGCUGUAGUCGGUCCCAAGGGUUGGGCUGUUCGCCCAUUAAAGCGGUACGCGAGCUGGGUUCAGAACGUCGUGAGACAGUUCGGUCCCUAUCCGUCGUGGGCGUAGGAAAUUUGAGAGGAGCUGUCCUUAGUACGAGAGGACCGGGAUGGACGCACCGCUGGUGUACCAGUUGUUCUGCCAAGGGCAUAGCUGGGUAGCUAUGUGCGGAAGGGAUAAGUGCUGAAAGCAUCUAAGCAUGAAGCCCCCCUCAAGAUGAGAUUUCCCAUAGCGUAAGCUAGUAAGAUCCCUGAAAGAUGAUCAGGUUGAUAGGUUCGAGGUGGAAGCAUGGUGACAUGUGGAGCUGACGAAUACUAAUAGAUCGAGGACUUAACCAUAUAA